rnacentral:rRNA from 1 species
AUUGAACGCUGGCGGCAUGCUUUACACAUGCAAGUCGGACGGCAGCACAGAGAAGCUUGCUUCUUGGGUGGCGAGUGGCGAACGGGUGAGUAAUAUAUCGGAACGUACCGAGUAAUGGGGGAUAACUAAUCGAAAGAUUAGCUAAUACCGCAUAUUCUCUGAGGAGGAAAGCAGGGGACCUUCGGGCCUUGCGUUAUUCGAGCGGCCGAUAUCUGAUUAGCUAGUUGGUGGGGUAAAGGCCUACCAAGGCGACGAUCAGUAGCGGGUCUGAGAGGAUGAUCCGCCACACUGGAACUGAGACACGGCCCAGACUCCUACGGGAGGCAGCAGUGGGGAAUUUUGGACAAUGGGCGAAAGCCUGAUCCAGCCAUGCCGCGUGUCUGAAGAAGGCCUUCGGGUUGUAAAGGACUUUUGUCAGGGAAGAAAAGGCUGUUGCUAAUAUCAAUAGCUGAUGACGGUACCUGAAGAAUAAGCACCGGCUAACUACGUG